rnacentral:lncRNA from 1 species
CUCUUAGAAGAAAGGAAGCAUUGAGAGUAAGGAACAAAUGCCAAUGAUGACAACCCAAACACUAUGUAUUGUAAAUGAAGUGGACUUCGUGGUUUCUUUAUCCACCAAUAAAUUAAAAGAAAACUUACAGGAAAUGGACACAGCCCUGGAUAAAUGCAACUACUAAGAUUCAACCAAGAAGUAAAAAUCCUGAACACACCAAUACAACUAAUGGAUUUAAUCAGUAAUAAAAAGUCUCUCACCAAGAAACAGCCCAGGACUAAAUAGUUUCACUGCUGAAUUCUACUUAACUCUUAAAGAAGAAUUAAUAUUACCUCUUCUAAAACUAUUCCAAAACACUGAAGCAGAGAGAAUUCUUUCUAACUCAUUCUGUGAGGUCAACAUAACCAUGAUUCCAAAACUAGAUAAAAACACCACCAAAAAAGGAAAACUACAGGCCAACAUCCUUGUGUGU